UGGGGAAUUUUGGACAUGGUGGCGAAAGCCUGAUCCAGCAAUGCCGCGUGUGUGAAGAAGGCCUUCGGGUUGUAAAGCACUUUUGUCCGGAAAGAAAUCCUUGGCUCUAAUACAGUCGGGGGAUGACGGUACCCGGAAGAAUAAGCACCGGCUAACUACGUGCCAGCAGCCGCGGUAAUACGUAGGGUGCAAGCGUUAAUCGGAAUUACUGGGCGUAAAGCGUGCGCAGGCGGUUUGCUAAGACCGAUGUGAAAUCCCCGGGCUCAACCUGGGAACUGCAUUGGUGACUGGCAGGCUAGAGUAUGGCAGAGGGGGGUAGAAUUCCACGUGUAGCAGUGAAAUGCGUAGAGAUGUGGAGGAAUACCGAUGGCGAAGGCAGCCCCCUGGGCCAAUACUGACGCUCGUGCACGAAAGCGUGGGGAGCAAACAGGAUUAGAUACCCUGGUAGUCCACGCCCUAAACGAUGUCAACUAGUUGUUGGGGAUUCAUUCCUUAGUAACGUAGCUAACGCGUGAAGUUGACCGCCUGGGGAGUACGGUCGCAAGAUUAAACUCAAUG
rnacentral:rRNA from 1 species